rnacentral:rRNA from 1 species
AGAGUUUGAUCAUGGCUCAGAAUCAACGCUGGCGGCGCGCUUAACACAUGCAAGUCGAACGAGAAAGCGGGGGCAACUCCGUGAGUAAAGUGGCGUACGGGUGAGUAACACGUGGGUAAUCUGCCCUUUAGUGGGGAAUAACGCUGGGAAACCGGCGCUAAUACCGCAUAAUCCCGAGAGGGGAAAGCAGCAAUGCGCUGAAGGAGGAGCCCGCGGCCGAUUAGCCAGUUGGUAGGGUAAAGGCCUACCAAAGCAAAGAUCGGUAGCCGGCCUGAGAGGGCACACGGCCACACUGGCACUGAAACACGGGCCAGACUCCUACGGGAGGCAGCAGUGGGGAAUCUUGCACAAUGGGGGCAACCCUGAUGCAGCGACGCCGCGUGAACGAUGAAGCCCUUCGGGGUGUAAAGUUCUUUCGGCAGGGACGAUGAUGACGGUACCUGCAGAAGCAGCUGCGGCUAACUACGUGCCAGCAGCCGCGGUAAUACGUAGGCAGCGAGCGUUGUUCGGAGUUACUGGGCGUAAAGGGUGUGUAGGCGGCUCUCUAAGUUUGGUGUGAAAUCUCCCGGCUCAACCGGGAGGGUGCGCCGAAAACUGGAGGGCUAGAGUGCGGGAUGGGAGAGUAGAAUUCCUGGUGUAGCGGUGAAAUGCGUAGAUAUCAGGAGGAAUACCGGUGGUGUAGACGGCUCUCUGGACCGCUACUGACGCUGAAACACGAAAGCGUGGGUAGCAAACAGGAUUAGAUACCCUGGUAGUCCACGCCCUAAACGAUGCAUAUUUGGUGUAGGUCAUUCAGUUGAUCUGUGCCGGAGCUAACGCGUUAAAUAUGCCGCCUGGGGAGUACAGUCGCAAGGCUGAAACUCAAAGGAAUUGACGGGGGCCCGCACAAGCGGUGGAGCAUGUGGUUCAAUUCGACGCAACGCGAAGAACCUUACCUGGGCUCGAACGGCUGGUCAACGGCGGUGGAAACAUCGCUACUCCGCAAGGGGGUCCAGUCGAGGUGCUGCAUGGCUG